GAUGAACGCUGGCGGCGUGCCUAAUACAUGCAAGUCGAGCGAACAGACGAGGAGCUUGCUCCUCUGACGUUAGCGGCGGACGGGUGAGUAACACGUGGAUAACCUACCUAUAAGACUGGGAUAACUUCGGGAAACCGGAGCUAAUACCGGAUAAUAUAUUGAACCGCAUGGUUCAAUAGUGAAAGACGGUUUUGCUGUCACUUAUAGAUGUAUCCGCGCCGCAUUAGCUAGUUGGUAAGGUAACGGCUUACCAAGGCAACGAUGCGUAGCCGACCUGAGAGGGUGAUCGGCCAAACUGGAACUGCGACACGGUCCAGACUCCUACGGGAGGCAACAGUAGUGAAUCUUACGCAAUGGGCGAAAGCCUGACGGAGCAACGCCGCGUGAGUGAUGAAGGUCUUCGGAUCGUAAAACUCUGUUAUUAGGGAAGAACAAAUGUGUAAGUAACUAUGCACGUCUUGACGGUACCUAAUCAGAAAGCCACGGCUAACUACGUG
rnacentral:rRNA from 1 species